rnacentral:rRNA from 1 species
CCUACGGGAGGCAGCAGUGGGGAAUAUUGCGCAAUGGGCGAAAGCCUGACGCAGCGACGCCGCGUGAGGGAUGAAGGUCUUCGGAUCGUAAACCUCUGUCAGCAGGGAAGAAAGGUCACUGUGCUAAUCAGCAGUGAAUUGACGGUACCUGCAAAGGAAGCACCGGCUAACUCCGUGCCAGCAGCCGCGGUAAUACGGAGGGUGCGAGCGUUAAUCGGAAUUACUGGGCGUAAAGCGCGCGUAGGCGGUAUGUCAAGUCAAGGGUGAAAUCCCCGCGCUCAACGUGGGAACUGCCUUUGAAACUGGCAAGCUGGAGUGUGGGAGAGGAUAGUGGAAUUCCAGGUGUAGCAGUGAAAUCCGUAGAUAUCUGGAGGAACACCGGUGGCGAAGGCGACUAUCUGGCACAUAACUGACGCUGAGGAGCGAAAGCGUGGGGAGCAAACAGGAUUAGAUACCCCUGUAGUC